rnacentral:rRNA from 1 species
UACGUAGGGGGCAAGCGUUAUCCGGAUUUACUGGGUGUAAAGGGAGCGCAGGCGGCACGGCAAGUCAGAUGUGAAAACCCGGGGCCCAACCCCGGGCCUGCAUUUGAAACUGCCGGGCUAGAGUAUGGGAGAGGCAGGCGGAAUUCCUAGUGUAGCGGUGAAAUGCGUAGAUAUUAGGAGGAACACCGGUGGCGAAGGCGGCCUGCUGGACCAUUACUGACGCUGAGGCUCGAAAGCGUGGGGAGCAAAC